GAAGCCUUUAGCGAUUUUGGCAAACCUUCAAUAUGUUGUCUAGUGUGAGCUAGAACUGAAACGCUUGGAGUCAAUUGAAAAAGCAGUGGGGAACAUAAGCAUUAAGUGCUUUGUUAUCACCUAAAUGUUUCACUAUCUACUUUCAAUGAGUCAUCCUAGUUAUGCAGGUGAUCAAAAAAUGAUUCCCCUACUUAAGGUACUCAAGUACCUCCAGCUCUUCGUUUAGCUUGACGGGGCGGUGCAUUCACAUCGGUUGGAUAUGCGCCUCAUCUUUGAUCUGAUCAGUUGAUUUCUAGCUAACUUUUUAUAAAAGACAAGUUUUGCCUUCAAAACCUCUUUUCGUCCUUCUGCCACUCUUUGUUUAGCUCCCUUUUUAUGGGUUUGGUCAUCGACUCUUUUGCUCCAGCCUAUGAACUUUGUAGAUCGCUCUAGCGGCGCCAAUCAUAGAAGUCGAGUCAUGGGUACACCCCGAAUACUUAGAGACACAUUAUUCUAACAAACACAAGGAAAAUGUGGCAGCAACUUCCUUUGAGGUGGGGUCCCCUACUGUAUGAGUCAUCUCACUGAUGCUUGAUGAUAAAUAGGUGUGUGAUGAGUUUGAGGGGUGCUUCAUUCCCUUAUACUACUGCAUUUUUCACAAGCCGGAUGUUCGUCUUCUAUCGACUUCCUUCGAGAAAGAAGUAUUAGACCACGUUUACAUCCCUCCCUCAGAACUUCAUCCGUGUGCUUAGGGCUUCGUGAGGGCUUUCGAAUACUGGCAUGAGUAUUAAGGGGUUAUGAAUUCGAUCUCCACAACGUCUUCUUCCACCUCUUCAAAGUUAAUUCUAUCUCCCGCGGAGACGACGAGUAUGAACUUGUUUUUCUACGUCACUUAGAAAAUAAAGUUUUUCAGGUUUACAAGAAGAUCUAGAAGUAUUUCAAAAAUAAAUAUUUCUUGGCUACUCCCGCUCCCAUCUUGGCCACAAUGAGUUAUGCAUUGUUCCCACCCCUUUCGCGGAAUCAAUCUUUUGCAUCGAACGAAGGAGGCGAUUCUGGUCUCCAGACCAUUUCUCCAGGAAAGCAUUAGAUUAAUCCAUCUUGUACAACGCUCUUACUGAUGCGGAGUAGGCUAUGAAAGAUAUGUUGCUUUCCAUCUUUGAUUUUGAGAUACAUUGUCGAGUUAUUGUUGAGGAAAGAUUUGUUGAGGAGAGGAUAAUUUUUUUGGUACCUUCUUUAUUUUAUUUUGUUUGUGGUUUGUGACCUCACAUUACUUCUUGUUGGCUGAUUAUAUUUCUCUUUCUCAGAUGACCUCAAAGAGAAAAAUUCCUCAGCCAUCAAGGUUACGCCUACGUAGAUGCUCGAGUCUCUUUCGUCAUGCUGACAUAUUUGGAUAAUUGGAGUAAGAAGAACCACACACGACCUGCUAAAAUGGAUUGGGGAAAUGUGACCAUCCUGGGAAGUCUUGCAAAGACAAAGAGGUCAAAAGAUUCUGGGUCUGCUCCGAGCAUCCACCCGGGAGACAUUCCUCUCUACUUCCCCCUGUGUUGAUUGUUCGCUUUCCUUGAAUUGCGGAAGAGAUAAAUGACUAUGUGUUUUCUGAGGUUUACACAAAAAUUCCCAAGCUUUCUGCAGUCGACAAAUCGAACAUGUUGACAAAAUCAACCUACUAGGUGUUUCGGGUGGCUUCAUUCCUGAAUAAGCUUGCAGCCAAGCAUAAGGAACUUAUGUUUCCCGGUGCCUCUUCCAAAGGGGUCAAGGAUUCUAAGGCACAUUAACCUCUGGAAGAGGCGAAAGUUUCCACUUUUGAAAGGGACUGCUCAAGGUUGCGUAGUCGUUUGGAUGAAGCUUAGGAUUUAGGGUUUAGGGUUUGCAUAGUCGUUUGGAUGAAGCUCAAGGUUGCUCAAGGUUACAUAGUUGUUUGGAUGAAGUUGGGGGUUCUCUAGGAAGAGCGGACAAAUUUAAGUAACCAACUGCAAGAUCUCUCAAAUGAUGACUUGAAAGAAGAUGUCUUUCACAAUCUCUUGCCCCAGUUGGAGUCUCUUGUGCCUGAUAUCCGGGUUUUCCAUGAAUCUUUCUCCUUUGUUUGAUAUUGGCUCAUUGGAGCUCGGAACUGGCGAUACCGACGAGAUGCGAUCAUAUCUAUAUACAACGCCCGACAUCGCAGAAGACCCUUCCCUGACCAAAGGUAGGAUCCCCGUCCCUUCCUCCUAGGUAUGACUCGGAUCGAGGUGGACGUCUCCAGACUCCACCGCCUAACACCCUUGGAUUGGCUAGAUCCAAAGGGCUUGCGCCAGCUACGCGAAAUGCGUUUAAGCCGUAUCAGAUGUGCAAAAACAUGUGUAGUCUGUAUCGAGCACGCAUAAGUACGUGUAAUCUUUGUCUAUGCAAAAAUGUGUGUAAUCUUUGUAUAUGCAGAAAUGCGUGUAUUCUUUGUCUACACAUAAAUGUGUAUAAUCUUUGCUUCC